rnacentral:rRNA from 1 species
UGGCUCAGAACGAACGCUGGCGGUGCGUCUUAAGCAUGCAAGUCGAACGGGAUUCAGCAGCUUGCUGUUGAUGAGAGUGGCGGACUGGUGAGUAACACGUGGGUGACAUACCCUCCUGACGGGGAUAGCCUUUAGAAAUAAGGGGUAAUACCGGAUACGCACGUACAGGUUAGAGGUGUACGUGGAAAGGGAGCUUCGGCUCCGCGGGAGGAAUGGCUUGCGGCCCAUUAGCUGGUUGGUGUGGUAACGGCGCACCAAGGCGAUGAUGGGUAUCCGGCCUGAGAGGGUGAACGGACACAUUGGGACUGAGAUACGGCCCAGACUCCUACGGGAGGCAGCAGCUAAGAAUAUUCCGCAAUGGACGGAAGUCUGACGGAGCGACACCGCGUGAAUGAAGAAGGCCGGAAGGUUGUAAAGUGCUUUUGAAUGUGAAGAAUAAGCAGGUCAGGUAAUGGGCGUGCGGUGACGGUAGCAUUUGAAUAAGAGGCGGCUAAUUACGUGCCAGCCGCCGC